AAAAAGGCCGGAAUAGCUC
rnacentral:tRNA from 1 species